rnacentral:rRNA from 1 species
GACGAACCGUACGAACGUUAUUCGGAAUCACUGGGCUUAAAGGGUGCGUAGGCGGCGCGACAAGUUGGGUGUGAAAUCCCUCGGCUCAACCGAGGAACUGCGCCCAAAACUGUCGUGCUCGAGGGAGACAGAGGUGAGCGGAACUUAGGGUGGAGCGGUGAAAUGCGUUGAUAUCCUAAGGAACACCGGUGGCGAAGGCGGGUCUCUGGGCAGUAACUGACGCUGAGGAGCGAAAGCGUGGGGAGCAAACAGG